rnacentral:rRNA from 1 species
UACGUAGGGUGCGAGCGUUGUCCGGAUUUAUUGGGCGUAAAGAGCUUGUAGGCGGUUCGAUAAGUCGGAUGUGAAACCCCCAGGCUUAACCUGGGGCCGCCAUUCGAUACUGUCGUGACUAGAGUGCGGUAGGGGACCAUGGAAUUCCUGGUGUAGCGGUGAAAUGCGCAGAUAUCAGGAGGAACACCAGCAGCGAAGGCGGUGGUCUGGGCCGUUACUGACGCUAAAGAGCGAAAGCGUGGGGAGCGAACAGG